GGCUAAUUCAUAAUGCAUUUAGUAUCACUUGGCUGUUGAUUUAAAUUUUAAGAUUGAAUUUUCUCUGCUUUUGUGUCUUGUGCUUGUGUAACAAGCAUUGGAACUGAUGCAGCCGAAGAAAAAAGAGGAUUGGUGUGAAGAGGUGCUUGUUCUUAAACUCAUUUGCUUUCCCUUGUUUUGAUAGAGGGAAGAUGUGAUCUGUAGCCUACCACAACACUUCUUCGUAUGGCAGUGAUGAUGGGAAGCCUCCAGGUCCAGAGCAAGCUCUGACUGAGAGCUGCAGUGGACACACAGCGGUGCAGAGGAGGCAUGGUGCUUGUUACAAGGGGAAAAUACCAGAGGUUUUGGUCAGAUUUUCCUCCUGCAGAAGCGUGAUGACAGGUCUCGGUGCUCGAAGCAUCAACCAACACCUGAUACACCCAGAUCUGGGAAAAUCCCUCAAACAGCAGCUGCAAUUCUUGACCUAAACUGAGACUCAGAACCAAACCGCAGGGAGCAGUGUGCUGGAGGCACGCUUCCUUCAAGUUGUUCUCACAUCACGGCGCUGUUUACAAGAAGAGGGAGAAGGGAAUUUCUUGACUAUAAUUUUUAUUUGCCUCAUGAUGAUGUGCCCUCAAAGCAUGUCUUGCUGGUUGGUUUCAUCCUUCACAAAUAAGUGGCAUUUACUUUUGUAAAACUGAAAUUAAUGUCCCACGGAUGAUACGGGGCACAGAGAUUUGUGGCCGAAUAGCAAGCAGAAAGACAAGCAAUCCAGUGGAAUAUAAUAUUUGAAAAUGUUCAGUGGCUUGUGCACAUAAAUACAUAGAAAUAUGUUUCUACAAUCACAACAUUUGGUAAUUGCUCCCAGAGUUAUUUAUGUAUGGACUUCCAAAUCAUAGCAAAUAGAGAUGGCAUUUCUUUAAAGUAAACAAGUGAACAAAACAAACAUACUUUUACUGAACCUGGUCCAAAAAGUGACAAUUAUCAUGAUAUUUCUUUUUCAUUUUUUCUUUUCCUAAUCGUGCAAUUUUUUGUUUCACUUCUUUCACAGAAUCUGGCUCUUCAUAGCAGCCGUAAAAUAAAA
rnacentral:lncRNA from 1 species